CCUCUCCUUAUUUUAAAAACCAGGACAUCACUACCUCUUAGACUUAUGCAAAGGAUUAAAUGAGACAAUACAUCAGCCCUCUAAUAAUUUGUAGUAUGUUUUCUUCUCCCUAACAUCUCUUAGGCCUAAAAUUCUGUAUGAUAGCAUCGUGUCUGUGAUAUUCAAUGGUGAAUAAAGCUUCCUUUGAAGUCAGAAUAUGAGUCCUUUGAAAACAAGAGGAGCAUAUGAUGUGAAUAUCAUCAUAUUCCAGUGGAAAAGAAGUUUCUUGGGAUAAUAGCUACAAUAUAAAAAGUAAAUUCAUCAUUUGCAUGCCUUUUAUAAACAUAGGUUAAAUCUCCUUGGUAACUGUAGAGGCUGACUUAAAAAGAAAUUGAAAUUCAUUUGUAGAAGAUCUUGACAUAUUCUGCCUAUUCUCAGAUGCUUUUCCUAGAGUCUCAACCAAGCUGAAGAUACAAGGAAGCUGAAGUUGAAUUUACUCUUUGCAGAUACUGGAAACCUAGGUUACUGUAAUGAAGAAAAUUUGGUCCUAGUUUUAGUAAAAAUCAGGUGUCCAGUUUGUGCUCUAAUCAGCCUUUCUGAAACCUGAUGGAUGUGUGUUUUUCUGUGACCUCAUAGGAAUCUUAAAAUGGUGGCAUUAAAUGAUCUCUUCCAAAAUGUCAGGCUUUCAGAGUUACAUCCCAUCAGAAAUGGCCCAUUGUGUAAAACAGAACCAGUCUGACCUGCAAGACAAUGUACUCCAAUUGCAUAUUUCAACCAGUGCUGUCUUAUGCCUAAGCUCAUGGAACAAAAUAAGAAAUUCCAAAAUUAAAGCUUUCUGAUCUAAUUUGAUUAUUUUAGAAACAUAUAUAUAAGAAGAGUUAAAGUGAACUUCAUAACCAAAAUGAUAUUUUAAUGUAAUACUAAUUUAUGGUGAUAAUAAAUACUAUCAAUAACGUUGAACUUAUAAAAUCA